GCCCGGAUGGUCUAGUGGUAUGAUUCUCGCUUUGGGUGCGAGAGGCCCCGCGUUCGAAUCGCGGUUCGGGCC
rnacentral:tRNA from 3 species